GACGAACGCUGGCGGCGUGCCUAAUACAUGCAAGUCGAGCGAACCAAUUGAAAGCCUAGCCUUCAUGAGGUUAGCGGCGGACGGGUGAGUAACACGUGGGUAACCUGCCCUAUAGACUGGGAUAACUCGCGGAAACGCGUGCUAAUACCGGAUAAUACAUGAAAGUGCAUGCUUUGAUGUUGAAAGAUGGUUCUGCUAUCACUAUAGGAUGGGCCCGCGGCGCAUUAGCUUGUUGGUGGGGUAACGGCCUACCAAGGCGACGAUGCGUAGCCGACCUGAGAGGGUGAUCGGCCACACUGGGACUGAGACACGGCCCAGACUCCUACGGGAGGCAGCAGUAGGGAAUCUUCCACAAUGGGCGAAAGCCUGAUGGAGCAACGCCGCGUGAGCGAAGAAGGUCUUCGGAUCGUAAAGCUCUGUUGUAAGGGAAGAACAAGUGCAGUAGUAACUGGCUGCACCUUGACGGUACCUUACUAGAAAGCCACGGCUAACUAC
rnacentral:rRNA from 1 species